rnacentral:rRNA from 1 species
CAAUAGAAUAUAUCAAAAUUGUUGCGGUUUAAGAAGCUCGUAGAUGGAUUUCUGCCGAGGACGACCGGUCCGCCCUCUGGGUGAGUAUCUGGCUCGGCCUGAGCAUCUUCUUGGAGAACGUAGCUGCACUUGACUGCGUGGUGCGGUAUCCAAGACUUUUACUUUGAGGAAAUCAGAAUGUUUCAAGCAGGCAGACGCCUUGAAUACACUAGCAUGGAAUAACAAUAUAGGACCACGGUUCUAUUUUGUUGGUUUCUAGAGAUGAGGUAAUGAUUAAUAAAGAUAGCUUGGGGCAUUCGUAGUUAAUUGUCAGAUGUGAGAUUCUUGGAUUUAUUUCAGACGGACUAUUGCGAAAGUGUGCCAAGGAUGUUUUCACUGAUCAAGAACGAAAGUUUGGGGAUCGAAGACGAUUAGAUACCGU